AUUGAACGCUGGCGGCAUGCUUUACACAUGCAAGUCGAACGGUAACAGGGAGCUUGCUCCGCUGACGAGUGGCGAACGGGUGAGUAAUGCGUCGGAACGUGCCGAGUAGUGGGGGAUAACGCAUCGAAAGGUGUGCUAAUACCGCAUACGAACUGAGGUUGAAAGUGGGGGACCUUCGGGCCUCACGCUAUUCGAGCGGCCGACGUCUGAUUAGCUAGUUGGUGAGGUAAAGGCUCACCAAGGCGACGAUCAGUAGCGGGUCUGAGAGGAUGAUCCGCCACACUGGGACGAAGACACGGCCCAGACUCCUACGGGAGGCAGCAGUGGGGAAUUCUGGGCAAUGGGCGCAAGCCUGAUCCAGCCAUGCCGCGUGUCUGAAGAAGGCCUUCGGGUUGUAAAGGACUUUUGUCCGGGAGCAAAUGCUGGUGGCUAACAUCCACCGGAGCUGAGAGUACCGGAAGAAUAGCACCGGCUAACUACGUGCCAGCCGCCGCCGUAAGAC
rnacentral:rRNA from 1 species